ensembl:rRNA 5S_rRNA 5S ribosomal RNA
GUCUACGGCCAUACCACCCUGAACGCGCCCAAUCUCGUCUGAUCUCAGAAGCUAAGCAGGGUCGGGCCUGGUUAGUACUUGGAUGGGAGAAAGUUAAAAAUGACA